rnacentral:lncRNA from 1 species
UAAUCUUUGUACCUACAUCGCGUCGUGGCACACGUGUGUGUGUGUGUGUGUGCCACUGAUCUUACGCACGCAUACGUACGUAAGGCUCCAGUUUUUCUUCUGAUCGUUACGUCUCCGGUGAUCUACCGAAAUUUUUGGACUCGGUUGCAGCGUCCUUGAAACGAACGAGGUGUCCUAGAAUCCGGAGAGUUUCCGUUCGAUGGGAUACAACUGGACGGGGUCGUUGAGUUCACGCCUAUUGAGUAACACCUAUGGAGUCGGGGGUCUAGAAGAGGAACACGUCGAGCGAAGCUUGGUGCUGAAGAAAAAAAAAAAUUCACUACGACAAACAUCGCUCAUGGAAAUGAUGAUUUUUUUCCAACGAUCCAUCGACAAAAUAAAUAACCAGGCUUAACGAUC